rnacentral:rRNA from 1 species
UACGUAGGGUGCAAGCGUUGUCCGGAAUUAUUGGGCGUAAAGAGCUCGUAGGUGGCGGGUCACGUCGGGUGUGAAAGCCCGGGGCUUAACCCCGGGUCUGCAUUCGAUACGGGUCUGCUGGGGUCCGGCAGGGGAGACUGGAAUUCCUGGUGUAGCGGUGAAAUGCGCAGAUAUCAGGAGGGAACACCGGUGGCGAAGGCGGGUCUCUGGGCCGGGUAC